UACGAGGGGUGCGAGCGUUGUUCGGAAUUAUUGGGCGUAAAGGGUGCGUAGGCGGCUUCCUAAGUUUGAUGUGAAAUCCUGGGGCUCAACCCUGGAACUGCAUUGAAUACUGGGAGGCUAGAGUACUGGAGAGGAAACUGGAAUUUACGGUGUAGCGGUGAAAUGCGUAGAUAUCGUAAGGAAGACCAGUGGCGAAGGCGGGUCUCUGGACAGUUCCUGACGCUGAGGCACGAAGGUCAGGGGAGCAAACGGG
rnacentral:rRNA from 1 species